rnacentral:rRNA from 1 species
UACGUAGGGUGCAAGCGUUGUCCGGAAUUAUUGGGCGUAAAGAGCUCGUAGGCGGUCUGUCGCGUCGGCUGUGAAAACUCGGGGGCUCAACUCCGAGCUUGCAGUCGAUACGGGCAGGCUAGAGUUCGGCAGGGGGAGACUGGAAUUCCUGGUGUAGCGGUGAAAUGCGCGAUAUAGGAGGAACACCGGUGGCGAAGGGCGG